rnacentral:rRNA from 1 species
UACGUAGGGGGCAAGCGUUGUCCGGAUUUAUUGGGCGUAAAGAGCGUGUAGGCGGCCUGAAAGGUCAGCUGUGAAAACUCGAGGCUCAACCUCGAGACGUCGGUUGAAACCAUCUGGCUAGAGUCCGGAAGAGGAGUGUGGAAUUCCCGGUGUAGCGGUGAAAUGCGCAGAUAUCGGGAAGAACACCCGUGGCGAAGGCGACUACCUGGUCUGGCAUUGACGCUCAUGUGCGAAAGCGUGGGGAGCAAACAGG